rnacentral:rRNA from 1 species
GAGUUUGAUCAUGGCUCAGAUUGAACGCUGGCGGCAUGCCUUACACAUGCAAGUCGAACGGCAGCACGGGGGCAACCCUGGUGGCGAGUGGCGAACGGGUGAGUAAUACAUCGGAACGUGUCCUGUAGUGGGGGAUAGCCCGGCGAAAGCCGGAUUAAUACCGCAUACGAUCUACGGAAGAAAGCGGGGGAUCGCAAGACCUCGCGCUAUAGGGGCGGCCGAUGGCAGAUUAGCUAGUUGGUGGGGUAAAGGCCUACCAAGGCGACGAUCUGUAGCUGGUCUGAGAGGACGACCAGCCACACUGGGACUGAGACACGGCCCAGACUCCUACGGGAGGCAGCAGUGGGGAAUUUUGGACAAUGGGGGAAACCCUGAUCCAGCAAUGCCGCGUGUGUGAAGAAGGCCUUCGGGUUGUAAAGCACUUUUGUCCGGAAAGAAAACCUUUGCACUAAUACUGUGAGGGGAUGACGGUACCGGAAGAAUAAGCACCGGCUAACUACGUGCCAGCAGCCGCGGUAAUACGUAGGGUGCGAGCGUUAAUCGGAAUUACUGGGCGUAAAGCGUGCGCAGGCGGUUCGUUAAGACAGAUGUGAAAUCCCCGGGCUUAACCUGGGAACUGCAUUUGUGACUGGCGAGCUAGAGUAUGGCAGAGGGGGGUAGAAUUCCACGUGUAGCAGUGAAAUGCGUAGAGAUGUGGAGGAAUACCGAUGGCGAAGGCAGCCCCCUGGGCCAAUACUGACGCUCAUGCACGAAGCGUGGG